UUUGCAGGCAUUUUUGUGAGAAAUACAAAUAAGUGGACAUAAGUAAAACAUUUGAAAACUGACUCAUGGAGACUGCUGCCCUUAGUAUCUGAACCUGGGGGACCAGAUUGUGUUAACUGCUGGCUUUCUACGGAGAGAGGGCUGGAGGGACCCCCUGCUCCAGCAGCUGUUGGUUCCCCAGGCUGCCCUCAAACAGCAGCUCUGAAAUGGCGACCAGUGUGGAAUCCAGUGUAUCGGGCACCAUGAAUGAGGAAAAGGAUGUGUUUGGGGGUGAAGCACUUGCCAAUGUCAGUGCCCUGCCUGUCAGUCAGCUGUGGACAGCAGCAGAGUGUGAUGCUUAAGGAAGCAGGCUCCAGAGCCAGGCUCCUGGGAUGGCUGUGCCGUGGACCAGCUGUGUCACCUUGGGAAAUUUCCCAAACUCCUCUUAGUCUUCUCAUCUAUAAAUGGUGGAUCCAAUGCUUCCCUGCCUCAGUGUUGUCGUGAAGAUGAAAUGGGUUAAAACAUGUGAAACAGUGUCUGGCACACAGUAAACAAACCAUAAAUGCUGGUUGUCAUGUCCUUAUUGCU
rnacentral:lncRNA from 1 species